ACUUGUAUAGCUUAAUUUUAAAGCAUAGCACUGAAAAUGCUAAAAUGAAUUUAAAAACUCUACUAGUA
rnacentral:tRNA from 1 species